UACGUAGGGGGCAAGCGUUGUCCGGAAUCAUUGGGCGUAAAGAGCGUGUAGGCGGCCAGAUAGGUCCGUUGUGAAACCUGGAGGCUUAACCUCCAGCCGUCGAUGGAAACCAUCUGGCUGGAGUCCGGAAGAGGCGAGUGGAAUUCCUGGUGUAGCGGUGGAAUGCGCAGAUAUCAGGAGGAACACCAAUAGCGAAGGCAGCUCGCUGGGACGGUACUGACGCUAAGGCGCGAAAGCGUGGGGAGCGAACAGG
rnacentral:rRNA from 1 species